UAUAUAUUUUUUUUUAUUAUUUUUAUUUUCUAAUGGCAGUGUAAAUCUUCAAAUAUUCUGUCAUUUUGGUCAUAAAGAUAAGAGAAUGACCAUUCAAAGCAGCAACUGUUUUUUUUUAUUUUUUUAUUUGUGGAUACUCACAAAACAACAAAACCUUGCUUUUAUAGAACAAAGUAAACUUUCACUCACUUAUCUCAUCUGAGGUGAUCUUAGGAUGGGUAAAAAUGCUUCAUCAAAAUAAUGAAUGAAUCUGAGAAAAGUCUACAUACAUGUCCUACAGAUUUCCGAUAUGUUUUGCUGACAGAUAAUUUAGAAUAAUGCUGCAUAAUUGUUGUAAACGUUUGAUAUUUCUAAAUGUAAAAUAAAAAUAUCUAACAUUUCUGCAUACUUCGGUACACAUUUAAACAUUCAUAUUUUUUCUCUGUAGGCUCAUUACAGGUGCCGCAACAAUGUUCAUGUUUGAUCAGGCAUGGCUUGUCAACAACGGCUGUCGAAAAACACAUGCUGUGGGGUAAAAAUGGGUUGCACUUUGGUAAAGACUGUAGACAAAAGGGGAGGAUCAAGUAGGAACAUUGAUCCCCAUAUUCCCACUUACUCAACAUCUGUGCGCUUGUACAAUGUGCAUUGAGGCACAAGGUUGUAGGGGUCACUGUAGUUGCCACCACCGUAAAAGUUAAUGCUGUUGAGAUGCCACCAUGUCAGAGCCUGAGCUGCCAGUUGCCACCAGAGCUAUUGCUGCCACAUGCACCAGAGUUACUGUCUACAGAACCGCUCACAAAGCCUCAACCACAGUCAGACCCAUUCCAGCAAAACUGCCAGAGCCUGUUGUGCUAGAGCUGGCAGAUCUGCUGCUGCCAUAGCCAACACUUCCAGAGCCACCGAUGCCACCACCUGAGCUCCAAGAUUGGCCACCUCUGCUAAAGCCAACUAACCUAUGAGAGCCACUCUAUUUCUAAAGUGAGGACAAUUUAUGCUUUAUAAAUCCCUAAUAAAUGACAAUUAAAGGCUCAGUGUCUAAUGAACAGUACAUCUUUGUAAUCCUAUCUAAAAAAUAAAAUUACUGUAAAGUUUAAACAUUGCCGAAUAACAGGAGUGUCAAAAUCCGACUAAAAUUGGAUAAAAAAAACAACCAUAUAAUAAUUUAACAAUAUAUUUUGAUACAACAUUAUAAUGUUAUUUAGCAAAGUUUAAACUGAACAGUAACUUUAUUUUAGUUAAGAUUGCAAAAAUGUAUUUUUAAUUUGAUGCAGAUUCAUUUAUGUAUUUUCAAAUGAUUAGAAAUUAAUAAGGUCGUGUUUUUUUUUCUUUCCCUGAUUAGAAAAUAAAUGAGCCUUUAAUUGUUAUUUAUAAGGGAUUUAUAAAGCAUAAAUAGUCCUCACUUUAGAUUAGGUCACAAUACUGGAUGAAGUUAAAAUACUAAAGCAUUUAUAAACAUACAAAUUGAUUAUUAGUAUAUGCCUGAAUAAUAAGAUAUAUAAAUGUUACUUUGAAUGGUUUAUUAAUUAUUUACUUAUGCAUUCUGAAUGAAUUCUGAACUUUAAAAGCCACAAAGUACUCUCAAAUAAUUGGUUUGUAAAUUAUACAAUACUUAAGUAUUGAAAAAAUUAUUAUUAACAAAGUAUGAAAAUACAAUCAUUAAGCACAUUAUAGUUGAGCUUAUAAAUCAGGAAUAGAGCAUUUGUAUCUGUAGUUACAAACUGCUUACUAACUUCUGUUAAUGUAGAGUUAAUGCUUAACAAAUAAGGAAUUAAAUUUGCUAAUGCUUCAUAAAUUAUUCAUAGCGUGUAGUUAUUAUAAAGUGUUACCAAAAUGGGUAUCAUUUAUUUAUUUUUUUAUGGGAGGGCUCUAACAAUGAAUAUUAUUCCUGUCCAACUGAUUAUUCUCAUUUUCUGGUCAGAAAAGUACAUUAAAGGUAAAACAAUAGGUACUGUGAGAGGAAUCAUAUUAUGAUCAAUUUUAACUUGUACAGCAUUAAAUUAAAGCCUUAUUUGAAAGGCCUGCAGAACAUAUGUUUGUAUCAUUUGCAGUUAUUAAAUAUCUUAACUCUAACAGGUAUAGUUCAAUAUACUUUUGCUUCAGUUGAUUUUCAUCUGAUAUGCAGAUUAUGUGCAGUGUUGGGCAAGUUACUCCGAGAACGUAAUACAUUAUUGAUUAUUACUAAUUAUCAUUUAAAAAUAAAUACAAUUGUAUUUUAAAUAACUUUUUUAUUAAAUUUAAUUAAAAACUUAAUUACUUAGUAAGUCAUUUAUUACUCAAUAUUAUAAAAGAAAUAAACCACAAAUCCCAAAGCAUAGACAAUAGAAAUAAAUCUUUUAAUUCUUUAAAUUUGAGUCUAACAGGACCUUUUAGUUUCAUUAAACAUUAUAUAUUUCAAAUAUUUUCAAAUUUGAUACCAUUCAUACAGACUAUUAAGCAUAAGUAAGUGUAUAUAAGUGUAAUUGUUGGACAAAUGUAACAUUCUUUAAUAAAAAAAUUGUGUUAUUUUGCAAAAUAUCUGAAUUUUGACAACAAAUUAUACACAUUCCUAUCCCACUUUCUCUGAAUUAAUACCAGAUAUUGUCAGAAUCAAUCUUUCAAUUUAACUAUUUUAUACUAGACAGCGAAAUAUAAAGUGGUUAUGUUUGCAUGCAGGGGCUGUGUUAAAUUAAUAAUAAUUUAAAAAGCUUUUAAAAUAAAUAAAUAUUAUGUUUGUGUGUUUUUGCUGGUUUUUGUACUGAGUAAUGUUUUCUCAUUGUUAAGAUGCUGUUGUGUGUGUGUUUACUACAUGUAUUUAGGCACUAUUUUUAUUCAUUAAAAACACAGCUUUUUAUAUAAGCUGUAGAUUGUU